UCCCUAGUAGCUCAGUUGGUAAAGAAUCUGCCUGCAAUGCAGGAGACCCAGGUUCGAUUCCUGGGUCUGGAA
rnacentral:tRNA from 1 species